GUUUAGGUGAAAGACCCCCGAAGUGGGGAGACCCUCACUCAAGUCUCAGAAUGACGUGACCUCCCAGGAACUCACAAGAGACA
rnacentral:pre_miRNA from 14 species